rnacentral:rRNA from 1 species
GUGGGGAAUAUUGCACAAUGGGCGGAAGCCUGAUGCAGCAACGCCGCGUGCGGGAUGACGGCCUUCGGGUUGUAAACCGCUUUCAGCAGGGACGAAGCGUGAGUGACGGUACCUGCAGAAGAAGCACCGGCUAACUACGUGCCAGCAGCCGCGGUGAUACGUAGGGUGCGAGCGUUGUCCGGAUUUAUUGGGCGUAAAGAGCUUGUAGGCGGUUGGUUGCGUCGAAAGUGCAAACUCAGGGCUUAACGCUGAGCCUGCUUUCGAUACGGGCUGACUGGAGGAAGGUAGGGGAGAAUGGAAUUCCCGGUGGAGCGGUGGAAUGCGCAGAUAUCGGGAGGAACACCAGUGGCGAAGGCGGUUCUCUGGACCUGUACUGACGCUCAUGCACGAAAGCGUGGGGAGCAAACAGGAUUAGAAACCCUGGUAGUCC